AGAAGCUUCCUUUGCUAGGCAUUAGUGGUAUCAUUAUAGUAUUAGAUGUAAGGAUAAUUGAUGGCAAUUGUGAUGUGAGCAGUACAUUGUGACAGACAAUUGGAGUGUUUAUCUGUAGAUUAUUUUAGAAUUUCAAAUGAAUUCAUCCCAAAUAAACAUUCCAUCUGAUUUUUAAACAUCUAGGGUAUACUAAAUCAGGUCCUCCGAUGAUUCACAUACUCAAACCAUAUCCAUCCAAAUGUAUGUUAUAAGCAAUUAUUAAACAUGAAAUGGCAAGCAUAAAAUAAAUAAAAAUAAAAGAAUAAACACUGUAAGACCAUAAUUAAUCUGUAAAACAAAGUAGUAGGGUCAAGUGUUUACAAGGCUAUCGGCAUCAAAUAUUCUCACAUUAAAAAGAUUGUCGAAGGCUUAUACCACCCCUCUCAAACAAACUUUUUACUGGUUGGGCUAGUCUAUUCAGAUCAAGGUGGUCAAUUGAAACAUUAGUAGUCACAUAUGGCUAUGAGUCCAUUAGACUCCAUGUAUAUGGAGCUAAUGUAUAGUUUAUGUAAUCUCCAUAAGCACUUAUUUCUCACCUGUGACAACACUGUUUUCAUAGAGAUUGCCUAGCCCUGUUAAGAGUUGUUUCGUCAGUGUAUGUUGGAUCUUUAAAAUUAACGUUUGUCCAUUUUGUUUAUAAUCAAUUAUUUACUAUUUUUGUGGUUUGCUUGUUUCUCUAAAUAUUAUAAAGGUGUCCAAGCUUGAGGCUCUGGGUGUGGAGACGGCCAUUUUGUCCUUUGACAGUCAAAAGGCCAGCUUAGAGGUCUUUGAAAUGAGUAGCAAAAAAAGCCACUGUGUUCCUUGACUCAACGGACACAGUGAACAAUUUUGCACUGCAUUUCAAAGCCAGCUCCUCAGCCGCAACACCUACUACUAAAGAGCCCAUCAGUGUGCUUUUGAAAAAAGUACAAGAUCUUUUCAAGCAAGAUAUAAGGAGGCCGGAGGUACUGGAAGGCUCCCCUACCAGUCCAUUGUGAAUAACGAUGAUGUAACAAUCAAAGUUGCUGGGCUGCCCAUUGGACUUCAUAUCAAGAAGCCCUCCUUCUACGGAAGAAACCAAUUAGAGGCCAUUUUGGCAGCUGCCGAGCAAAUUUCAUUUGAAAUAAAUACAGCACAAUGCAACCCCACUGACAUGGCAGAGGGAAUGUCCGAGCACAUGGACGCAGAAGCUACGCUGAGUUGUUUUAUUACCUCCUGGGAACUGCCAAGACACAACAGUUUGCAUCCAAAAGAAGUCAGUGGAACAGAUCUUUGAGGCUAUGUGUGGAAAUGGUGCACAGCAGAUGGAAGGAGAGUCCUCAGAAACAGCCACUAAUGUAGCCAUUGUGAUGACUGAAGAUGAAGAUGGAGGCAAUUUGUGCUGUGUCUGGCGCAUCCAUUUUGACAACCAGAAGAAGAAUGCUACAAAGAAGUGGCCUUCAUGGUCUCAGUGCUCAGUGUGUCAAUCAUGGUCCCACACUGCUUGUGGUUUUAAAAGAAGCAUGUGCCUUUAUUGCCAGGGUCAACACACCAUGCAAACACCCUGAUUUCUAGUAGUCUAUAUCUAGGUCCAUUGCCACCGAAAAUUCCACGGAUGUCCCUCAUUUUCAGCUGAUGUCCGUCCCCUUCCUGUUUCUUUGUGUUGACAGCUAGCUAGACUAUCUGUCCAAUCUGAGUUUUCUGUUGAAUACAAAUAUUUACGUACGAACGUACACAAGUUUGAGGUGUUUUUACUGUGUUGAUGGCCCCGACUGCAUCCCUACAAACACACACUCCGUUUAAAAAGAACCCUGGAGUGUUUGGUCGGAAAGUCCGGCUUGAGUGAAAGCUCAUCUGAACUCUGGUGCAUGUCUGUAUGGAUUGUAUAUAUGUAUACGGAUUUGGCCGGCAGCCUUGAGUUGACACUUGAUUUAAAGCCUGUUAACAUUUAUUAGGUGCCUGUUCAUCAUUUUCAUUAAAAUAGACUCCUUGUGAAUCUUGCCUCUACAUGCCUUUGGAUUACACUUAUAUAUUUUAAUUUACCCUAGUUAAAAUUCUUUGUACUUUAUUGUUGUUUAUUGACUCCAUCAAUGUGGUCCCUUUCAAACCGUACAAUGUGGGGAACAUUUAAAGUUAUAUUGUACUGAAUUGAGUACACAUGUU